rnacentral:rRNA from 1 species
UACAGAGGUCCCAAGCGUUGUUCGGAUUCAUGGUGCGUAAAGGGUGUGUAGGUGGCGCCGUAAGUCGGGUGUGAAAUUUCGGAGCUUAACUCCGAAACUGCAUUCGAUACUGCGGUGCUUGAGGACUGGAGAGGAGACUGGAAUUCAUGGUGUAGCAGUGAAAUGCGUAGAGAUCAUGAGGAAGACCAGUGGCGAAGGCGGGUCUCUGGGACGGUACUGACGCUGAGACGCGAAAGCGUGGGGAGCAAACAGG